rnacentral:pre_miRNA from 1 species
UUGUUGCUGAUGGGGACAUGACCUUCGCAUGCCUGUCUCAGCUCGUCGUGCAUGCCUGGCUCCCUGUAUGCCACACAUGUCCUAGUGGUUUGCUGGUUGGCUGGUGUGUUGAGGGUUCAGAACAAUCCAUUAGUCAGUUGGAAUUUGU